rnacentral:rRNA from 1 species
AUUGAACGCUGGCGGCAGGCCUAACACAUGCAAGUCGAGCGAGUGGCGGACGGGUGAGUAAUGUCUGGGAAACUGCCCGAUGGAGGGGGAUAACUACUGGAAACGGUAGCUAAUACCGCAUACCAUCGGAUGUGCCCAGAUGGGAUUAGAUAGUUGGUGGGGUAAAGGCUGACCAAGGCGACGAUCCGUCACUGGUCUGAGAGGAUGAUCAGCCAAACGGGAACUGAGACACGGUCCAGACUCCUACGGGAGGCAGCAGUGGGGAAUAUUGCACAAUGGGCGAAAGCCUGAUGCAGCCAUGCCGCGUGUGUGAAGAAGGCCUUCGGAUUGUAAAGCACUUUAAGUUGGGAGGCGUUACCAACAGAAUAAGCACCGGCUAACUUCGUGCCAGCAGCCGCGGUAAUAC